rnacentral:rRNA from 1 species
CGGCGGACGGGUGAGUAACGCGUGGGUAACCUGCCUCAUACAGGGGGAUAACAGUUGGAAACGACUGCUAAUACCGCAUAAGCGCACAGUACCGCAUGGUACAGUGUGAAAAACUCCGGUGGUAUGAGAUGGACCCGCGUCUGAUUAGCUAGUUGGUGGGGUAACGGCCUACCAAGGCGACGAUCAGUAGCCGACCUGAGAGGGUGACCGGCCACAUUGGGACUGAGACACGGCCCAG